UAAAGCUACAAAGAGCUAAUGGUGGAUGCCUUGGUACUGCCGACCGAAGAAGGACGCGUAUGUCUGCGAUAAACCACGGGGAGUUGACAAAACGCCUUGAUCCGUGGGAUUCCGAAUGGGGAAACCCUCUCAGGUUAAAACUUGAGAAUCCUUGAAUGAAUCAAUAGUUCAAGAGAAGGACAGUCCGUGAACUGAAACAUCUUAGUAACGGGACGAAAAGAAAAUAAACCAAUGAUUCCGAAAGUAGCGGCGAGCGAAAUCGGAAGAGCCUAAACCUUUUGUACGGAAUAGACGGUAAUCGUUGUGCAAAGGGUGUUGUGGGAGCUUCAAAACAUUUUACCGAAUGUUGAAAGAGUUACAAAGUUUUUUAAUAGAUGAACAUAUUUGGAAAGAUAGACCAUAGACGGUGAUAGUCCGGUAAUUGAAAUUAAAAGACCUCUUGAAGAAUUCCCGAGUAAGGCGGGGCACGUGAAACCCUGUCUGAAUCCUCCGCGCCCAUGCGGAAAGGCUAAAUAUCGCGCAGUAACCGAUAGUGAACCAGUACGGUGACGGAAAGGCGAAAAGAACAGUGAGAAGCUGAGUGAAAUAGAACCUAAAACCGUUAGCUUACAAUCGGCUGGAGCCCUAUUAAUAGGGUGACAGCGUUCCUGUUGAAGAAUGAGCCGGCGAGUUAAUUUAUGUAGCGAGGUUAAGUGGAUAAUACACGGAGCCGAAGCGAAAGCGAGUCUGAAAAGGGCGAUAUAGUUACAUGAAUUAGACCCGAACCUUGGCGAUCUAACCUUGACCAGAAUGAAGCGUAGGUGAUACUACGUGGAGGUUCGAACGUACUGAUGUUGAAAAAUCAGACGAUGAGUUGAGGUUAGGGGUGAAAUGCCAAUCGAGCCAAGAGCUAGCUGGUUCUCCCCGAAAUGCGUUUAGGCACAGCGUCAGAUUUAUCUUAACGGAGGUAGAGCACUGGUUUUGUGCGGGCCGAGAAUCUCGGUACCAAACAAUGUCAAACUCCGAAUGCCGUUAACGUAAGUAUCUGGCAGUGAGACUGCGAGUGAUAAGAUCCGUGGUCAAAAGGGAAACAGCCCAGAACACCGAUUAAGGUCCCAAAUUAUAUGCUAAGUGACUAAGGAGGUAAAGUUGCAUUGACAACCAGGAGGUUGGCUUAGAAGCAGCCAUCCCUUGAAAGAGUGCGUAAUAGCUCACUGGUCAAGCGACUUCGCGCCGAAAAUACGACGGGGCUAAGCAUAUAACCGAAAUCGUGUCAUAUGACUUGUCAUAUGGGUAGGGGAGCGUUCUGCUGUAGGUUGAAGUCAGACUGUAAAGACUGAUGGACGAAACAGAAGUGAGAAUGUCGGCAUGAGUAGCGAAAACAUUGGUGAGAAUCCAAUGCACCGUAAACCUAAGGUUUCCCCCGGCAGGCUCGUCCGCGGGGGGUUAGUCGGACCCUAAGCCGAGGCUGAACAGCGUAGGCGAUGGACAAUCGGUUGAUAUUCCGAUACUAUCUGAUAAUCGUUAUCAGAAGCGGAGGGACGCAGGAGGAUAGACAUGCAGGCGACUGGAAGAGCCUGUUUAAGCGUGUAGUUAGUUCUGAUAGGAAAAUCCGUCAGAGCGUUAAGACAUGAGGCGUUAUGAGGAGAGUCUACGGACUCGAAGAUGUUGAAUCCACACUGCCGAGAAAAUCUUCGCUAUCGAGAUUAUCGGGUAUCCGUACCGUAAACCGCCACAGGUAGGUUGGUAGAGAAUACCAAGGUGCGCGAGACAACUCUCGCUAAGGAACUCGGCAAAAUCACCUCGUAACUUCGGGAGAAGAGGUACCCCGGUAGUGUAAAGUCCCACGCGGAUGUAGCAUGAUGGGGUCGCAGUGAAUAGGCCCAAGCGACUGUUUACCAAAAACACAGGUCUCUGCUAAGUCGAAAGACGAUGUAUAGGGGCUGACGCCUGCCCGGUGCCGGAAGGUUACGUGGAAGGGUUAGACAAUAGUCGAAGCUCUGAAGCUAAGCCCCGGUGAACGGCGGCCGUAACUAUAACGGUCCUAAGGUAGCGAAAUUCCUUGUCAGGU
rnacentral:rRNA from 1 species